rnacentral:rRNA from 1 species
AUUGAACGCUGGCGGCAUGCUUUACACAUGCAAGUCGAACGGUAACAGGUUAAGCUGACGAGUGGCGAACGGGUGAGUAAUGCAUCGGAACGUGCCCGAUCGUGGGGGAUAACGCAGCGAAAGCUGCGCUAAUACCGCAUACGAUCUGAGGAUGAAAGCGGGGGACCGUAAGGCCUCGCGCGAUCGGAGCGGCCGAUGUCAGAUUAGGUAGUUGGUGGGGUAAAGGCCCACCAAGCCGACGAUCUGUAGCUGGUCUGAGAGGACGACCAGCCACACUGGGACUGAGACACGGCCCAGACUCCUACGGGAGGCAGCAGUGGGGAAUUUUGGACAAUGGGCGAAAGCCUGAUCCAGCAAUGCCGCGUGCAGGAAGAAGGCCUUCGGGUUGUAAACUGCUUUUGUACGGAGCGAAAAGGUCCUUUCUAAUACAAGGGGCUCAUGACGGUACCGUAAGAAUAAGCACCGGCUAACUACGUGCCAGCCGCCGCGGUAA